CAGGUGGGCACUCCUGAGGCUGCAGAGCGGAAGAGACCACCAACAUUGCUCACCCCUGCCCAUAUCCCUGGCCCAAGAGGAAACCGUAUAAGGCCUCUGGGCUCCCGUGGGGGAGGGCCCAGGAGCGGCAGGACCCCUGCCAGAGACACCGCUGGACCCUGAAGGAAACAGACCGGAUAAACAGUUCUCUGCACCCAAAUCCCGUGGGAGGGAGAGCUAAACCUUCAGAGAGGCAGACAAGCCUGGGAAACCAGAAGAGACUGAUCUCUGUACAUACAUCUCGGACGCCAGAGGAAAACACCAAAGGCCAUCUGGAACCCUGGUGCACUGAAGCUCCCGGAAGAGGCGGCACAGGUAUUCCUGGUUGCUGCCGCCGCAGAGAGCCCGUGGGCAGCACCCCACGAGCGAACUUGAGCCUCGGGACCACAGGUAAGACCAACUUUUCUGCUGCAAGAAAGCUGCCUGGUGAACUCAAGACACAGGCCCACAGGAACAGCUGAAGACCUGUAGAGAGGAAAAACUACACGCCUGAAAGCAGAACACUCUGUUCCCAUAACUGGCUGAAAGAAAACAGGAAAA
rnacentral:lncRNA from 1 species